GAUGAACGCUGGCGGCGUGCCUAAUACAUGCAAGUCGAGCGAACGGACGAGAAGCUUGCUUUUCUGAUGUUAGCGGCGGACGGGUGAGUAACACGUGGAUAACCUACCUAUAAGACUGGGAUGACUUCGGGAAACCGGAGCUAAUACCGGAUAAUAUUUUGAACCGCAUGGUUCAAAAGUGAAAGACGGUCUUGCUGUCACUUAUAGAUGGAUCCGCGCUGCAUUAGCUAGUUGGUAAGGUAACGGCUUACCAAGGCAACGAUGCAUAGCCGACCUGAGAGGGUGAUCGGCCACACUGGAACUGAGACACGGUCCAGACUCCUACGGGAGGCAGCAGUAGGGAAUCUUCCGCAAUGGGCGAAAGCCUGACGGAGCAACGCCGCGUGAGUGAUGAAGGUCUUCGGAUCGUAAAACUCUGUUAUUAGGGAAGAACAUAUGUGUAAGUAACUGUGCACAUCUUGACGGUACCUAAUCAGAAAGCCACGGCUAACUACGUG
rnacentral:rRNA from 1 species